AACUCUGGGAAACUGGGGAUAAUACUGGAUAUUAGGCUAUGCCUGGAAUGGUUUGCCUUUGAAAUGUUUUUUCGCCUAAGGAUAGGUCUGCGGCUGAUUAGGUCGUUGGUGGGGUAAUGGCCCACCAAGCCGAUGAUCGGUACGGGUUGUGAGAGCAAGGGCCCGGAGAUGGAACCUGAGACAAGGUUCCAGACCCUACGGGGUGCAGCAGGCGCGAAACCUCCGCAAUGUACGAAAGUGCGACGGG
rnacentral:rRNA from 1 species